rnacentral:rRNA from 1 species
AGUGGGGGAUAACGGCUCGAAAGGGUCGCUAAUACCGCAUACGUCCUACGGGAGAAAGAGGGGGAUCUUCGGACCUCUUGCUAAUAGAUGAGCCUAGGCCGGAUUAGCUAGUUGGUAGGGUAAAGGCCUACCAAGGCGACGAUCCGUAGCUGGUCUGAGAGGAUGAUCAGCCACACUGGAACUGAGACACGGUCCAGACUCCUACGGGAGGCAGCAGUGGGGAAUAUUGGACAAUGGGGGCAACCCUGAUCCAGCCAUGCCGCGUGUGUGAAGAAGGCCUUCGGGUUGUAAAGCACUUUAAGCGAGGAGGAAGGUCUUUGAACUAAUAUUUCAAAGAAUUGACGUUACUCGCAGAAUAAGCACCGGCUAACUCUGUGCCAGCAGCCGCGGUAAUACAGAGGGUGCAAGCGUUAAUCGGAAUUACUGGGCGUAAAGCGCGCGUAGGCGGUAUGUUAAGUCGGAUGUGAAAUCCCUGGGCUCAACCUAGGCAUUGCAUCCGAUACUGGCACACUAGAGUGUGGGAGAGAAAGGUAGAAUUCCAGGUGUAGCGGUGAAAUGCGUAGAGAUCUGGAGGAAUACCGAUGGCGAAGGCAGCCUUCUGGCCUAACACUGACGCUGAGGUGCGAAAGCAUGGGGAGCAAACAGGAUUAGAUACCCUGGUAGUCCAUGCCGUAAACGAUGUCAACUAGCCGUUGGGCUCCUUGAGGGCUUAGUGGCGCAGCUAACGCGAUAAGUUGACCGCCUGGGGAGUACGGUCGCAAGACUAAAACUCAAAUGAAUUGACGGGGGCCCGCACAAGCGGUGGAGCAUGUGGUUUAAUUCGAUGCAACGCGAAGAACCUUACCUGGCCUUGACAUGUCUGGAAUCCUGCAGAGAUGCGGGAGUGCCUUCGGGAAUCAGAACACAGGUGCUGCAUGGCUGUCGUCAGCUCGUGUCGUGAGAUGUUGGGUUAAGUCCCGCAACGAGCGCAACCCUUUUCUUUACUUGCCAGCACUUCGGGUGGGAACUUUAAAGAUACUGCCGGUGACAAACCGGAGGAAGGCGGGGACGACGACAAGUCAUCAUGGCCCUUACGGCCAGGGCUACACACGUGCUACAAUGGUCGGUACAAAGGGUUGCUAACCCGCGAGGGCAUGCUAAUCUCAAAAAGCCGAUCGUAGUCCAGAUUGGAGUCUGCAACUCGACUCCAUGAAGUCGGAAUCGCUAGCAAUCGCGGAUCAGAAUGCCGCGGUGAAUACGUUCCCGGGCCUUGUACACACCGCCCGUCACACCAUGGGAGUUUGUUGCACCAGAAGUAGUUAGCCUAACCGCAAGGAGGGCGAUUACCACGGUGU